rnacentral:rRNA from 1 species
AUUGAACGCUGGCGGCAGGCUUAACACAUGCAAGUCGAGCGGAGAUGAGGUGCUUGCACCUUAUCUUAGCGGCGGACGGGUUAGUAAUGCUUAGGAAUCUGCCUAUUAGCGGGGGACAACAUUCCGAAAGGAAUGCUAAUACCGCAUACGUCCUACGGGAGAAAGCCGGGGCUCUACGGACCUUGCGCUAAUAGAUGAGCCUAGUUCGGAUUAGCUAGUUGGUGGGGUAAGGGCCUACCAAGGCGACGAUCUGUAGCGGGUCUGAGAGGAUGCUCCGGCACACUGGGACUGGGAAACGGCCCAGACUCCUACGGGAGGCAGCAGUGGGGAAUAUUGGACAAUGGGGGGAACCCUGAUCCAGCCAUGCCGCGUGUGUGAAGAAGGCCUUAUGGUUGUAAAGCACUUUAAGCGAGGAGGAGGCUACUGAGACUAAUACUCUUGGAUAGUGGACGUUACUCGCAGAAUAAGCACCGGCUAACUCUGUGCCAGCCGCCGCAGUAAAAC